AGAUCACGGUCGUCACGGUCACUUCCUGUUUGAACGAGAGACAAACUCUGGACCUGAAAGGACCGAAAGGACAUAUCUGGACCCGAUGAAAGCAACUGUUAUGUGUUAGAUGAGCCAUAAGACCCAGUUGUCCUCAGGCAGUGAUGAUUAUGUGCUCUGACUCUGGGACUGCACGAGACUCCCAGUGAGGUUGAUUGCUCCACUCUCGAAAUCAACACUCGAAAUCAAGUCGGAGAUGAACAGAAGAUGAGCCCUGAGAAGGACCAUAUCAGAUCAUCAUUGGAGGGUCAAGAGUCAAGACUGUGUUGACAUGAUGAGAUCAGUGUGACGGAUUCUGCUGCCAGUGAUCCUGAUGGAAGCGGUUCUGGAGGAGAUGUUGCUGCUGGAGCUGCAGCGUCUCUAGUUAUGUUGGUGUUCAGAAGAUGCCCAUCGAGAAAACCACUGACGUGCCUCAAGGUACCCGAGGUUUAAAUUAGAAUAUGACCAUCUAGUAAGCUUUAUCUAUGAGAGCUCAUGUACUUACAAAGCAUGUUGUAUUCUGUACAGAGAAUGACAGUGAGGAAGAAAUUGAAAACCUUGUGGAAAGGACAAAAAGUGUGCUGGUCAAAUGCUGAAGUUACAGCUGCAAUUAAACAUGUUAAGGCACAUAUAACCAAAGGAAAACUGGCCACACUGACUGAAUGGCAGAAGUGUAAGACCACUGAAGACCCUUUCCGUGGAGUUUCAAUCUCUACCUCACUCUCAUUCUCAGCGCAGGAGAAUACAUGCUUUAGUAAGCUCUAAACACACGGGAGCUCAUGUACUUACAAUGAUAGUUAUAUUGACACUAGACGCUUCUAGAGCUGAUGUACAACCCAAGCAAACUUUGUUAAAUAAUUUUCCUGUAAAUCUGCUUUGAAACUUGACUUGACAAUUCUGUUUAUAUUUUCUGGAAAUAACAGAGGUAAACCGUCCGUUGUAAUUUGGUUUGUUUUGCAAAUGUAUAUAUCGCGAUAUGCAUAUCGCGACGGCUUGCAAUAGCUGGGGUCAUGAACAAAAGAAAAUCACUCACUGCUGUUUGCUGAAUAACUGUAUAUAUGUAAAUAAUACAGUGAAAACUAAGCAGUGUUUUAUUUUCACAUUUGAUUAUUCAGUUUCUGUUGUUAAAUAAUCCUAAUGUAGGAUAAUCUGAACCCUGUGCUUUAGCAUAAGAAGUAUUAUUUUAAUAUCAGUGUACAGUAAAACACUGAUGUUCACUUUCAGAAGCUGAUGUUUUCUUGUCACAAAAAGAAUGUGAAACAUUUAUGUAAGGUUAAAUAAUAGAUAAUUUAAGUUUGUUUUACACACUUUAAACAUUACUCUAUCGAAUAUCGCAGUAUUUAAUGAGUUAACGCAUAUCGCUUUUUUCUUCAGUACUGUGCAGCACUAAGCAGCAUCUAUUGUAUGUUGAGUGAGUUAAUUUUAUACAUUUCAAAGCCUGUUUAAUGACAUCUUUAAAAUGUGUCUGCUUCAAAGGGCUGUUUUGUCAAUCAUUGACCAUGUUUUUAAGUUUGUGGAUGUGACUUUACACUUAAAAUGGCAUGACAUGAUGGAAUUACAUGGUAAAACUGAAAAAAAACUCAAUGUUUAUGAUGAUAUUAUUGAAGUCAUAAUUAAAGCACUUGUAAAACA